AGCAAACUGGUUUCGGAUGCGCUCCGGAAAGCCAGUUGCCUUCUUUGAGCCGUAGUGUUCGAUAGGCGCGAGCGGACUGGCGCUCUUUUUUUCGAUCGGGCGGUUUAUAUCCGACGCUUGUCUGUCGGAUUUUUCCGAUAUUUUCGCUGUGCUGGCGAUCGCAUGACCGGGACGAAAAGCAAGAGCAGAUCCUGGGAAGCGCUUGCCUUGUCUAAAGUGCUGCCACGUUCCGGCGCAGUAUCCUUGAUACUGUUUCCGGAUGCAAUUUCAGUUGCAUCUGAGGUGCGAAACAGGAAGUGUCGCCUUCAUUUUCGCAGUGAAGUGGAGUUCCGAGGAGGGUGGUCUAGAACGGCAUCCUGGUUCCAGGUGUCUGUACAGUUGAAAGUGAAUAAUGACGCUUCUACGUUUUCACAGAAGAAACCUGGCGUUCGGUCGAUCCGGCUGUGCCGCCACUUUGUCAGACGCAGAAUGCUUCCGUUGGUUCGGUUUAUUCGUCAAGUGGGCUCUUACUUUGUGUGCCAGUCGGUAAACAUGCGUGUUUCUCUGUCGUGAAAAAGUCUCGAGUGUCCGUUUCCUUCCCGGUAGCCGGCAUCGAGCCUUUGGACUCGCCCGUAUGCACGUUAAUCGGUCGUCUUUUUUGAGGGCAGCCAGAGGCGCCACGUGGAUUGGGAGACGUGGGACUGCGGGGCGAGGCGUCAGAAACAAUUUAUUUUUGGUUCGCCGGAGAGAAUGUACGGUUUGGCUGCUUGCUUCCCGGACGGCGGACGCCUGUCAGCCAUUUGGAAAGCAGUGGACGACGUGGCCAAGCAGGCGACAGGGCAGUGGCACUCAUUGACCUGAAUGACGGUACGCCAGGUGCUCCGCCUUUUCUUUGGUUUUCAUCUCUUACCUGCGCUGACGAGCAGACGAUCAGAUUUGUGCUUCCUUGAAGGCCUUUUCCGCUACUCCCUACCGUACAAAGGGAGACGACGACUUCCCCGGAGUUCUGUCCAAGAGCUGCGUGGUCUAUUAAGUGGAAUCGAAAUCCGGAAUCUCGUUUACCCUUGCUUCUUCGGGAGACAAACCGGUGCUAGUCUGGAUGAGGCCACAAUCGAGCGUUCGUGCUCAGAAACGGCAGUGGUUUUGUCCACAGACCGGUUUUGUCGCGGGGUAAUUCAGCCUGUAUUGGCUCGCUGUCGACUUCAGUCGCGCAGAUUUAUCUGUGAGGUUUGCACAUUCUCUGGUCGUUUAUUUAUUGGCGACUCUCUCUUGCCAUUCUUCUAGUCCUCCAGGCAGUGCGCAGAAAUGUAUGAACUCUGCUAGGAGCGGGAGAUUUGCACGUUUCGUGCAAAGAGAUUGGGGAUCUGCGUUCCCGUCUGAACAUCCUCGCGUGCGUUCUUUUCUUUCUCCGCCUCUUCACUUGGCUUUCAACUCGCGAGGUUUUUCCUCGUCGCCUGAGCACCAGGUUCUUGUGGUGUUGGAGAUCGUGCUUGCUCCGGUCAUUUCAUCUUUUCUGAAGAGAGGCAAGAGAACAAGAUGGCUACAGGCACGGGCGUUGGUACGGACCAGCUGUUCUUUCCCAAGUGUGACAUGGGAGGAACGGCAGCAACAUCGCCGCUCGACAACCUCCGGUGUCUCGAGCGGUUGCUGGAUGUGACAUACUCAUCGGUGUGUUGCUCCCUCAACGCGGGAACGCUUCCGAUUCUUGUACGCGUACCUCUUAUUUUUCCCGACGAUGAAGAGUCGCAGUCGCGGGUCUCUGACCCUGUGGAUCCGUCUGCCGUGUCUUCACGCGUCAGCGGGUCGGUGCACUGUAUGGGUUCGGGGUCGAGCGAGAGAUUAGCAGAUAUUUUUGGCCGGAAGCCUGCUUCGUACUCCCGCCAUUCUCUGUCUGAAAGCGUCGCACAGCUUCCGCCGCCCCGAGAAAGCAGGCGUAUGUACUCGGGACACAAUAUUGUCACGCCUCCUCGGUGUUCAUGCACACGAGUGGACACGAAAGGAAAGCCGAGCCGACGGUUCUCAUCCACCUUCCUCUCACGCAACAACAGCGGAGAGCGUGCAUCGGCAUUUCUGGAUACACAGGGGCGGGAUAGUAGCGGGUUCUGUCUUGCGUGCACGUCGGUGGACACGGACGUCAAGGGAUAGGGGUGCCGAUUGAAAUUUUCUAGCUCGUCGUCCAGUGCAUGUGAAAGUGCACAGCGACGGUAUGGGCGGGGGACGUGCUACAAGCGAUGGUGCGACGGUGGAAAUUCCGUAUGUCAUGCUCCACAGGAGGCGCCUAGGUUGCAGAGGACACCACCGGAAUGCGGGAGCAAAAGGCUUCCGGGUUGGUUUCCCAGUGUCUGCCCGAGGGCCUUGUGAGCGGGUGGCAUACGACGGGGUCUAAUAGAAGGAGCUUGUGCUGGCUGUGCCAGAGAUGCGUCUUCUUACAAAAGGUGAAGGCACCAGAGAAGUUCGCGUACUUCGCCAGCUACAAAGUGAUAGAUGAUGUGGCGCGAGCCGGAGGGUGGAAGCUCAGGGAGGACUGCUUUUGGACCAAGGGGUGGGAGUACCAGUCCAGGCGGUGGUUCUGCGAUUGUUCUUACGUUAGGGCGCUUAGAUAAAUGCGCGGGUGUACUAGAGAAGUGUGGGCCAGAAGUUUGUGCCGAUUCCGUGCAUCCUGAAGAACCAGAUCGCAAAGAUUGUGGUGUGGCGGCAGAGCAGGCCCACCGAGAAAGGGUGGUAUAGUCUCGAGCUGUUUUCUGGUCUCCUGUCGUUCUUACCGAGUAUACAAACCCCAUACCUUCACCGCAAAGCCGGGCAUCAUCGACUUCACUGCGCGAAGAUAUAAGGUGAACACCAAGCAGUGAGGAACAUGUGUUUGGGGUUUCGGAGGGGACGUGUUCACGCGAAUGUGAAAUAGACGACAGUACGCUGAGCGCUGCUUUUUUCUGAUAUGACAAAGGUAGAACAGUGUAACCGCGAGGACUUCUUUUCCCAAAGUCGCCAAGGAAAAACGACUGGCAGGACGUGCUAGAUGAGGCCGGGGCGGUGCUUGCGUUUUCCCAGAGGGGCGUCCACUGUACCGUUUACUCGUAGCGCAGGCGCUGGCAUUGUGAAAGGCCUGGAUGUCUCUUCAUGUCGGUAGCGCAGGACUGGAUUUCUUGGGUGGAAUCUGUGUCAUUCCGCAGUGGUUUCACGUCCCAAAAUGUGGCGCUGGCGCUUGCGGAAGGUUUCGUGGUUGUGUGUGGAGUGCUUCGAGUUUGAGCACACGGAGUGCUCGCUCGGAAGUUUCGCUCUUUUUUUUAUGAAGACGGCCUUGAGGAAGAGCAGAACGUCGUCGGCAAGAAGUGGACCGGGUUUUUACGACGUGUGCUGUUGCGAACGCACCCACAAGGAGGGACACGACCGUGUUCCUGCUCUGUCCACUCUACAUCGUGACGCGCAUUUUACUCCAGGAAACGAAUGUGGAGUGUUCUAGGUGAUGUGUGGCGUCAAGAACAUAUUCCAUGAUGGUUGCCUGUCUCACUGGAAAGCAAACAGGGUUUUCCGAUCACUUCCAACGUAAAUAGAGCAGGGGCAGCAAUCAAGCUCCUCGCCAGGGUUGAAUUCUGCUCCGUCACGAUGUGCGCGGCCUGUUUCAGUGGUUAUAUUAUGGGAGAUCUGCGAAAUAUGUAAGUACAAACGAGCGACAGCGCGGGCUUCGCACGUAUGUUCCGAGAGGGAGUCGGGUACGUGUUCGAGGGUGCAUCAUUUUUACAGUAGAUUGGCCCAAUAUCUGUUGUGAGCCUGUUGGAGUGUCCCGAACAUAUUGCUUGUGGACUCUCGAGUGUUCAUGCUGCCGGUUUUCCCAUAACAAUUCGCAUUUAUUCGUUGGGGUGUAUUGGGGCGCACGUCAUUGCAUGGGGUGCUGAACGUCAGGUGGGAAGACGCCUGCUGGAGUUGCGACCCAAAGAGUCUCGCAGUCGGGGCAGCCAAAGGGCUCUCAAGACAGCGGAGGUUCGUGUGCGGGUGAUUCCUGUGAGGGGCCGUGCUUGUUUUCCCUUUUUUCGUUUUGGUACAGCUUCUCUUCCCUGAUGACGAAUGCACUUGGAGCAUGUUUAUAUUUUUCCUUUCAAGAUACGCAUCCUAGGCAGGAGAAUUGUCGAAGCGAAGUUUCAGCCUUCCCACCAGAUGCGUCCAGUCGAGUAAGAAGUGAGUUUGUCUUUAGACUGCUAAAGCUCAUCUCAAGUUCCCGGAUACCUGGCUAAGUUCAGCCAGCGUUGCUGGUAGCGUGGAAUCGGGGAGACGCUCAUCAGACGUCUGUGCUGUUCGUGGUGACGCUUGUCAAGAAGAUCGACGACUUGCCUGUUGAACCGUGGAUUCACUUGCCGUUCAAAUGUUGUCAGGAGAGUCGUGUGACAUGAGGGAGAUCUGCAAGACAAUUUUGUAUUGAUAAGUUUUUUCCUGAUAAAAUCCUCAUGCAUUAAAACCUGU
rnacentral:lncRNA from 1 species